GCUCCGAGCAAACUUUCAAUUUUCCAUCACUCCCAAGCACAGUUUUGGUGAAAGCAAAACAAGCAGAAGGGGAAAUAAAAAGCCCAAACUGAGUGCCUACGUCUGGACACCUCAUUCCCAACCCAGGCUCUCGUGGACAUCUGCCAAGGACAGCAGUGGCCAGAGGGACAGCCACCCCUGCACCCAGGGAUCCUUCCUGCUCCUUUUGGCAAGGGAAUGUCAGCACAGGAAUGCAAAGGAACUCGGGAUUUGGUCACAGAACCUGAACAGCCUGGUUAGUUCAGAGGGCAAAAGAGGAAGGCAACGUUAUGAACAGGUAUUUUACAAAACCCAUCUGGUACCAGGACCCUUUACUCGUGAAGAACCCUUUGGCUUGACCAAGAGCAGGGUCCUUCCAGCCCAACCUCUGUGUCUGCUGCUGCCUAAACACAUCAGGGCUGAGGUGUGACCAGAGCUGCCUUCCCAGAUCUACAGAAAUCCCUUUGCCUUAACUUCCCAACUGGAUAAUAUCUCCCUCACUGAGGAUUAUGGCUGUCAAACCAAAGGUGGUGCAACAUCGCCCUGUUUAUCUAAUGUUGCCUGGAGAUAUUUUCUCAUGUCCUCCAAAGGAACCCUUGUGGAGAAGAAGGUUGCAUAAAAAGCAAUCUACAGAGCCAGAAAUGUAGCAAAGCCCAGAGUCAAACAAACACACCACUGAUAACUGCAUCUCUGGAAAGAGGUGCUACAAGUCUGAAGAAGAAAGGUGUUCAAAGAAGCUGGAAGGAAAGGGAGAAGGGACACACAGAGGGCCAACUUUCUCACAAAAGCUGUCUUGGAGCUCCACUGACAGUGGACAGAAAGGGGUUGAAGAGGACAACAUCUGAGAGAUUCUCCUCCUGCAUCAUAACAUAAAACUAUUUAUUAUAAA